rnacentral:misc_RNA from 1 species
AAGCGAUAGUAUGUGAAUUGCAGAUUCGUGAAUCAUCGAAAUCUUUAACGCACCUUGCGCUCUAUGGCAAUCCGUCCAUCAUGCCUGUUUGAGUGCCAUUUAAUCUCUCACCCCCCCGGGCUUUUAGUAAAACACCUUCCCGUCCCUCCCCCCGCCCCGCUACCUAUCUUAAGCCCAACGACCCACCUGUCCCCACCUCUCCCCUUAACCUCCUUCCUUCCUGUCCUCCCUUAUACCUGUCCUUCUCUCAGCAUUUUUUUUUUGUUUUUUCCGACUAUAAUUGGUUUCUUAUUGUUCCCAAUUCCGCUUCUUCUUCUAUAACUCACUUCAAAGAGUUUUCUGCCUCGCCUAGGAGUACCAUUCUCUCUCUAAGGCCAUUUUUCCUGCUCCCCAGAAUCCCUUUAUACAUA